rnacentral:rRNA from 1 species
CAGGCCUAACACAUGCAAGUCGAACGGGAAGGCGGCUUUCGGGUCGCUGGAGAGUGGCGAACGGGUGAGUAACGCGUAACUGAUCUGCCCCAUAGACUGGGAUAACCUUUGGAAACAGAGGCUAAUACGGGAUGAACUUGGCGGAGUUAGGUUUCUGCUGAGGAAAGGUUUAGGCGCUAUGGGAUGAGGUUGCGGUCCAUCAGCUAGUUGGUGAGGUAAAGGCUCACCAAGGCGAUGACGGAUAGGGGAUCUGAGAGGGUGGCCCCCCACACUGGGACUGAGACACGGCCCAGACUCCUACGGGAGGCAGCAGUAAGGGAUAUUGCACAAUGGGCGGAAGCCUGAUGCAGCGACGCCGCGUGGGCGAAGAAGGUUUUCGGAUCGUAAAGUCCUUUUCUAUGUGACGAGGUAGGACGGUAGCAUAGGAAUAAGUGUCGGCUAACUACGUGCCAGCAGCCGCGGUAAAACGUAGGACGCGAACGUUAUCCGGAGUUACUGGGCGUAAAGCGCGCGCAGGCGGUGUCAUAAGUUACCCAUGAAAGGUACUGGCUAAACUGGUAUUG